rnacentral:hammerhead_ribozyme from 1 species
AUCCAGCCGACGAGUCCCUUAUAGGACGAAACACGCGUCAAACUACAU